AUUCGAUGAUGUUCCUACCAUUGUGUGCGUUUUCCCCGAGCCUGUCGCACCGUAGGCGAACACGGUGGCGUUGUAGCCGUUCAGGACGUCCUGCGCCAAGGUCUUCGCGGUACCUUCGUAAACCUUCUCCUGAAGUGUUGAGGAAUAUAAACUGUCAUGUUAUGGUAUUCGAAGUGACUUGCCUGGGUGGAAUCUUCGCCGAAGAUUAUGUCGUAGAGGUAUUGCCGUGGCACUGCGCGCUUCUGCUUGUCGCUGUCCUGGUCUUCCAACAUCACCAUCUGUCAAUCAUUAGCGUCGUCAGCGGAAUUAUCCUUGUACACCUAAUAGUUAAUCUAAGUGGAUGCCAAGUCCAAUUAGCGAGCUCACCUUGUCGUUGACAGCGUGCAAGGACCUGGUGCCGCUCUCAGUGGGCGCCAAUGGUCGAAUACGCACAGCGACCUGACCAAAACAAGAGUGUAAACAAUAUGACAAUUUAUCUCGAGUCUACAAGUAGUCUCAAGUGACAUCAACAAGGAGUCUUCAGUUUUGUUAUUUUUAUUUAUCGGUUUGCAGUCGAAACGACUGUCGGGCGCGAUGACCCGCGAUUGAUUGGCUUUUCGUCGAAUUCCACGAAUGUGUAUGAUCACCGAGAGAUCGUCACCUGCGUACACCGGCACGAUAUGGAUCCCAGACGCGACGCUCGGAACACUUUACUCGGCACUUAUGUCGUCGUAAAAGAAGCUAAAAAAAGGUAACGCCGCUCUCGCGUGUCUUGUCGCAUUGUCCACCGCGCAUAAAAAAUUUCAGAGCUUCGAAAUCGAAUGGGCGAACGUGGCUUUUCUCACUCGUGUUAUCGAUUCGCUUUGCUCGUUCGGAGCCUGAUCCGGCCUGAUUGAACUUUACAAAGCUCAGGAUUUCUUAAUUUUUAAGCGACUUUUGACUUGCAAGGAACAUCCGCGAAGUGUGUGUCUCCGAUUUCGACGAAACUUGCAUAUUUGUAGAGUAACCAAAAAUAAGAGAUCCAUAUUUUUUUGAUCGGCAGGUUUAAAGGGUAAAACUGCCCCUCAGAGUUUCAUCCCCAUUAUGCUAUCUCGAUAAUUAUUGUAGAUAGGAAAAAUCUUUUUGAGCAAAAAUUGUACGGGUUUUUUAUUUAUUCAAAUUCUUCAUUUUCUCUUUUUGCCACGUAUGCCUGCUUGUUCGCUCUGCUUAAAAAUCUGACAAGUGUCAUAAAUAUACAUAUAUACCAUGAGUUUCUCCUCCAGUACUCGAGCUCCGCGAUCCUUAAAGUCAUUUCGGCAGGUGCUACUGUUACUGCUGCUGCUACCGCUGCUGUAUUGGGUCAUUCUUGUGUCACGAUAAUUCUAUGCGCCGUCGUAAAGUGCAAUGUAAGUUUAAGAUCAAGUGGUGCUGAAUGACUGAUGUCGACAAGAUGCUCGACACACGAACGUACCGAUCCACUGAAACACCGCGUUUA